GGCAUGUCAAGCAUUGUUAGCCUGCCAAAUCAGAAAAAAAAAGAAAGAAAACAACUAAUGUAAUACAAUAAAUACCCAAGUUGACUGAGAAAAAGUUCUCACCUGUCCCUGGCUCCCAACUUUUCACCUGACAAUGGAAAAAUCCCCAGAAUUUCACAAGAAAUACUGUGGGGUCCAUGAUACGAGGAGCUGCCCAGGUAUUGAUAACACCCCAAGACCUGCUAGAGACAGGACUAGAGCACUAUCAAUGGUGGGACUUCCUGGGCGAGGCCACACUGCCAGCAGAAGGGCAGGUGCCCAUGUAGCGACCUCCCUGGAGAAGCAAGGCAUGCAUACAGUGGGGGAGGGAGCCAAAGUCACAAGACAAAGCAAAGCGACAGGUGUCCCAGCUUCCUCAAGGGAGGAAGCCAAGGCAAUGCUGCACUUGUUGGGUUCAGGCUGGGGCACAGACUCCAGAUAAAAACACAUCCUCACUGACUCAGGCUCUUUCAGUUUCAAGAAAAAGCAAUGGUUGGGGUCAGGAGCACAGCCUCGUAAGGUCCCCAUGCACAGAAACCAGGAGGAUCAGAAGGGCUGGGAGGAUCUGAGGCAGCCCUGGGAACGGGAGCAGCCGGAGCCCUUCAGGCUGCCCUCCGGGACCUCCAUUGCGACUCCUCUGAGCCGUUCUCUUUUCUCUGCCAACUAUAAUCCUCUGCAGUCACUUCUUUUUUUUUGAAACAAAGUCUUGCCCUGUUGCCCAGGCUGGAGUGCAGUGGUGGGAUCUCAGCUCACUGCAACCUCUGCCUCCCAGAUUCAAGCAAUUCUCCUGCCUCAGUCUCCCAAGUAGUUGGAAUUACAGGUGCCCACCACCAUGCCCGGCUAAUUUUUGUAUUUUUAGUAGAGAUGGGGUUUCACCAUGUUGGCCAGGCUGUCUCGAACUCCUGACCUCAGGUGACCCACCCACUUCAGCCUCCCAAAGUGCUGGGAUUAUAGGCAUGAGCCACCAUGCCAGGCCUGUAUUCAUGUCUUUCCCCUGCCUCAUAGCUUCUGCUCAUUGCUAGUUUCUUCCAAUGCCACGUGACGGCCCCUCCAGCCUUUCUCUUAACUCAGUGCCUUCCAGCUCAACUUCCUUUUGUUAACAGCCUCAUCCUCUUGCUAUUUCCUGGUUCAAAUUCUUUCCCAGAGAAAUGGUCUGAUUUUCCCAGCUCAUCUCUUUGCCAAAACCAACCAGAGAUCCCCGACCAGCCUUGUUCUUGUCACCUCCCAUUUCCUCCAUUGGUGAGGGAGGGAUCCCCUGCUCUAAAUAGGACAAGAUGGCCAAAACAAGACAUUUGACACUGUGCAGGUGAGACUGGCAGCAGUUUACUAGUCACAAAUACAGUCUACUGGGGAAAGAUAUCAUAAGCCACACAGGGCCACAUGGGGUCACCCUCAGGAGCAGAGUGAACCAGCCAGGGCUGUGGGAGGCAGGCCUUGUAGUAAUAAAAGGAUGAGAUGCCCCGGAUUCCUGUAGGAGGAUGUGAUUGGCUUGUUUGAAUAGUUUCUCAGGCUGGCAGAGAAGUGAAACCCAUUAAGUAGAAAACUGGGUGGCAUGCAGCUGGUCCAGAUGAUAGGAAAUUAGCCAGGUGGGGACCGAGGGCAAGGAUAUAUCUGGUGAGAGGCAGGGAACUCAGGGUUAGGUCUUUGGGGCCCUGUGAGGCAUAAAAUGUCACAGCAGCACGUGGUAUUUCAGGUCUUACAAUACAAGCCUGUGCCCUCAGCUGUGACCCAUUUGCACCCAGAACAACACACUGCUGGUUACAGUUAUUUAAGGAAGCAUCUUUUCCUGAGGACCUUAAUGAAGACCUGUGCUCACUCCACCCUCCUCUCCUCUCUGUGGUGGCUGCUGCCUGGAUUCCAGCUUCAGCCACUGGACUUGGGAUUUGGAACUGAUGCCUGUGGAACUGGGUCUCUGUGAAGAGUGGGGAACCUGCUGAGACUUGUUCUUGGGAAUUGAGCUAUAGACUAGAAGAUUGUGCAGUAAACAAGAAGAAAGAUCACCAAGAUCGUGACAUUGGAGACCUUGCUCUACUUUAAUAAAAACUAGAGAUAAGUACUGGUCACAUUUUGUGGCAUUUCCAGGACUGGAACUUCCCCAGUCCUUGUUAUUUUUGACUCCCCAGAUGUUUCCUGAGGAUACCCUAGAACUUCAUGUCCACCAGAGGAGACUGCCUUUCCCACAUAUUCACCUGGACAACCAGAAAUGAAAAAGUGCACUUGGAGUGAGUCCUUGACCCAGGCAGCAUUUUAUUCUGAGGAAGCUGGAAGGUGAAUUCAUGAAGGCACUGAAGGCUGCUUCCCAUGCACAAGACACAGGAAGAUAGGAAAUGCAGAAGGAGGAGGAGGUGCCGGAGAGCUGCCUCCAAGACGUCAGAGAA
rnacentral:lncRNA from 1 species